UGGCGGCACUAGCGCGGUGGUCCCACCUGACCCCAUGCCGAACUCAGAAGUGAAACGCCGUAGCGCCGAUGGUAGUGUGGGGUCUCCCCAUGUGAGAGUAGGGAACUGCCAGG
rnacentral:rRNA from 1 species